GUCAUAUGCUGUCUCAAAGAUUAAGCCAUGCAUGUCUCAGUACAAGCCAAAUUAAGGUGAAACCGCGAAAGGCUCAUUAAAUCAGUUAUGGUUCCUUAGAUCGUACCCACAAUUACUUGGAUAACUGUGGUAAUUCUAGAGCUAAUACAUGCAAACAGAGCUCCGACCGGAGACGGAAGGAGUGCUUUUAUUAGAUCAAAACCAAUCGGUGGCGAGUUCGCUCGUCAUCGUACAACUUGGUGACUCUGAAUAACUUUACGCUGAUCGCACGGUCAUCGCACCGGCGACGCAUCUUUCAAAUGUCUGCCUUAUCAACUGUCGAUGGUAGGUUCUGCGCCUACCAUGGUUGUAACGGGUAACGGGGAAUCAGGGUUCGAUUCCGGAGAGGGAGCCUGAGAAACGGCUACCACAUCCAAGGAAGGCAGCAGGCGCGCAAAUUACCCACUCCCGGCACGGGGAGGUAGUGACGAAAAAUAACGAUACGGGACUCAUCCGAGGCCCCGUAAUCGGAAUGAGUACACUCUAAACCCUUUAACGAGGAUCAAUUGGAGGGCAAGUCUGGUGCCAGCAGCCGCGGUAAUUCCAGCUCCAAUAGCGUAUAUUAAAGUUGUUGCGGUUAAAAAGCUCGUAGUCGAAUUUGUGUCUCGCGCCGCUGGUUCAUCGUCCGCGGUGUUAACUGGCGAGUCGCGAGACGUCCUGCCGGUGGGCUUAGCUCGCGAGGGCGGCCCAACUCAAUCCUGCCGCGGUGCUCUUCAUUGAGUGUCGAGGUGGGCCGGCACGUUUACUUUGAACAAAUUAGAGUGCUUAAAGCAGGCUAAAACUUCGCCUGAAUACUGUGUGCAUGGAAUAAUGGAAUARGACCUCGGUUCUAUUUUGUUGGUUUUCGAACCCCGAGGUAAUGAUUAAUAGGAACGGAUGGGGGCAUUCGUAUUGCGACGUUAGAGGUGAAAUUCUUGGAUCGGCGC
rnacentral:rRNA from 1 species